rnacentral:rRNA from 1 species
UACGUAGGGGGCAAGCGUUGUCCGGAUUUAUUGGGCGUAAAGAGCGUGUAGGCGGCCAUGUAGGUCCGUUGUGAAAACUCGAGGCUCAACCUCGAGACGCCGAUGGAAACCAUAUGGCUAGAGUCCGGAAGAGGAGAGUGGAAUUCCUGGUGUAGCGGUGAAAUGCGCAGAUAUCAGGAGGAACACCGGUGGCGAAGGCGGUUCUCUGGGCAUUACCUGACGCUGAGGAGCGAAAGUGUGGGGAGCGAACAGG